UGGAUACAGUAUGGAAAUCCUCAACCAAAAACUUACUGAAGUCUCAUUUUAAUGUAAUCAUCCAGGCUUACUCCACUAAACAAUGUGUUUAUUGGAUUUGGAUGGAAGAUGAGGCAAGAAUCAAACUGAUCCUGUGGAAUAUUGGUUAAGACUGCAUAGCUUUGGGUAAAUAUCCCUAAUUGUGAAUGUUAAUUGUAUGCACUUUUCAAUAUGUGAUUGAUUCACAGCCAUCAUGAGCAUCAAACAAAUCAGCUGGAGAGCAGUAGCUGUUUGAUAUGAAACAUCGAAUCAACAUUGUGUCAUGACCUUUUGCUUUCUGAAGUAUCAGGGAGCCAAGAAACAAAGUAAACUGUGUGCCCCACACUGCAGUGCAUCCCUGGUGCUUGGCUUAUUUGGCAUCAAAUUACCAAGUGGGAAUGAUAAAUAAUAAUAAAGAAUAAAACCUGAGGCACCACUUGGGAUGUGUUGUCCCGGGACAAAAAGAUUCUCCCUAAUUCUCUUUCUGUGUGUCCCUAUUGCUGCUAAACCCCAGCAGACAGACUAAUUCAGCAUGUGUUAUCAAUGAUCUAUCCUAAUUAUCGUUUACCUCCCCACAGGUUAAUUAAGGUGCUGAGUAAUGUGGUUUUCACUUUUGCCACAUAGCAGGGUCACAGCAGCUUUGUCUGUAAUCAGAUUUACCCGUCUGUGACUAUUUCCAAAAGAAGUCCCUGGAGUGAUUCAAGAAGUCACUUGAAAUGAUUCCAUGAAGAGAGAAUGGGAUAACUAUAAUAUUUACUUCUUCCUGUUUGCCAGGCCAAAAGGAGCUGGAAAGGAAAGGAGGAAUGCAAGCAGGUAUUCAGGAGUGCUGCUCCUCAUGUCAGGACAUUUUCUGCCACCAGCCCACCAGGACAGCUGGUGACAUUUCACUGGGGAUGUUCCAGAGCCUUCUGGCCACAAUCCUGUGCUCUGGGAUGACCUUGCUGGAGCAGGGACCAUGGACCCACUGUGGCCCAUUCUGGGAUUCUGUGAAACCAAGGCCAGCCAAGGACUGGAGGAGAGUUCCCAUUCCCUUGAAAUUCCCUCAUCCUAGUCCAGGCUUGGGGGAUUGCUGGACUGGAACAGAAUAGGCUGCUCAACCCUUGUCGUGAGAGGACUCAGCGCCUUGGAAUUACAGCUGGGAAAUGCCUUUGGAAAAACAGAGGAUGUGCUGGAGGAAGAUAGUGUUGUCUCUCUGGCCUGGCAGGUUUGCAUAGGUUUGGGACUUUUUUUUUCCAUUAAGAUGAGAGAUGGAUUAUAUUAUUUGGAGGGAGGUAUUCCUUGGAAAACUCAUGAUUUCCUCGCAUGCCAUGUCUGUGAUGUUCUGUUGCUAUGACCUCAAAAGAAACAAACAGCUCCCUUGUCAAAAAGCCUCCAGCUCUCUUGAGCAGGCUGUGUCCCAAGAGGUCUGACUGUCUCCCUCCUCCUGAGGGUGUCUCCUGCUCCUUCCUUCAGGAUUUCUCCUUAGGUCUUUGUUUCCUUUCCUUUAUGUAGGUCUGUGAUGGUCUGGUAGAUCUCAGAGUCAGGCCACAGCUUCCAAAGUAAUCAUGGGUUUAUAAUAUUCUGGGAGGCAAAAGAUUUUAGCUUGGGAGUAAAACAAGAUGAUAUUUUUACUGA